CAAAAGGAGAGGUCAUGUGACAAUUUGGAGAAAAGCCACCCCAUUCCAGACAGAGAAGACAGAACAGGCCAAGGGCACUGUAUGAGUUUGCUCUUUUCUGCCCCAAAUUACCACAAGCUUAAUGGCUUAAAGCAACACCUAUUAUUCCCUUACAGUUCUAGAGGGCAGAAGUCGAAAAUGGGUCUACAGGGCUGCGUUCUUUCUGGAGGUUCCAGGGGAAAAUCUGUUUCUUUGCACCUUCCAGCUUCUAGGGGCUGCCCGUGCUCCUUGGCUCCUGGCCCCACACUAUUCUGAUCUCUGAUUCCAACCUCACAUCUCCUUCUCUACUGCCGACCGUCCUGUCUCUCUCUUAUGAGGACUCUUGUGAUGACACUGAGCCCACCUGGAUCAUAUAGGCUCAUUUCCCCAUCAUCUCAGGAUCCCUAAUUUAAUUACAUCCACGAAGUCCCUUUUGCCAUGGAAAGCCACAUCUUCACAGGCUGUGGAGAUCAGGAUGCAGACACCUUGACGGACCAUCAUUCUGCCAGCUGCAGAUGCUAGGUCAGGAGUUGGCUCGGUGGGACUGAGGCCCGGUGGGAGGCCCGAGGGGCUGCUCAGUGCAGGCGUGCUUGUACAUCUGAGGAACAUCGAGGGGCCGAUUGGCUGGAGCAGGGUGAGUGGGGAGCAGGCUGAUGCCUGUGAGUCAGCAGGCGACCUGCUCAUGUAGGCCCCUUGUUGUCCAUGCAUCGUGAAGAUUCAGGAGCAAGACAGGAAGAAGCCCCAGGGCGAGGUUUCUGGACCUUGGCACCGCGGCCAUGCUGAGCCGGGUAAGUCUUUGCUGCGGGGGCCAUCCUGUACACAACAGGAUGUCAAGCAGCCUCCCUGGCCCCUGCCCUAGAGUUGGGACACCUAAACAUGUCUGCAGACACUGCUGGAGGUCUCCUGGAGGGUGAAGGCCUUGCUCCCUGUGUGGAGCCCCACUAUGCUAGUGGGAAAAGGACAGGCAGCACCUGUGCAGGCCCACCCAGGUGGAGUUUAAAAGAAAUCUCUGAUUUUUAAAUGCUCCAACACAGCCCACAGAGGCACUUCUGACAUGCCGCUACUGUCAGUGGAAGGUGGACCUUCCUCUGUAGCUGUGGUGCGUUUCCUAACAAGGUUCUGGCCAUCUUGAAAUAAUAUGGUAUUUUAUUCAAAAGAACUGAUGAAGUACCAUGCCUGCCCCUUGAACAAUUUUCUUAAAUACUCGACUUUUCACCCAAAUGUAUUAUCCCAACAUUUAGAAGGUUACUCACCAUAUACUGGCACCAUCUCUAGAAAACAAAGAAAUCACUUGCUAUGUUUGGUAAAUGUCACAACCAAACACGUAACAAUCAUGUUCCUAAGUGUAGCAAAUUCCAGCACCCACACUCCGCAGUUUCACCAGAAACAGGCAAGAGCAGACGAAUACUCAGAAGAGACAAUCGCUCCUCACAAACUCUUGCAGGCUACAGAGAAGGAAUAUGCAUGAUAAUGAAGAAUCACCACACAGACAACUGGUAUUGCCAAAUGAACUUGGCACUGUUCUGUGGGGAAAUUUAAAGCCCACCACGAGUCCAUCCUAAAAAGCCAAGAGGCACUGGUUAGAAAACCUCCUAGAAAACAGAAGGCCCAUGUCCGUUUAAGUUGGCCCUGGAGCACUGAAUCAUAUGAUGUGCUUUUGUUGCUAUUUUUACAUUUUUUAAAAAGCCAACAAAGUAGCUUUCCAGACGUCCAUGAAUGGUACAGUGUGCUGAGCAGGCCUAACUGUUUAGCUUCCAGAAAGAACUCCCUCACCCCACCCGACAUUCUGCUAUUCUGCUCUCCCCGCCCCCCAUGACAAUAUUUCAUUUGUGACUCAAGUAACUUUUUAAAAAAGAUAUGCUUGAUACUCUUCUGAAGCACUUAUUUGGAAAUAAUUUGGCUUUAAGACUCUUUCCAGAAGGCACAAACUAGAGAAAGUCCCUAAAAAGAGAAUACAAAAGUCAGAGAGGAGAAGAAUAUUGAAAACGGGAGCCCUGCACAGCUGAGGAGACACGUGACGCCCUAAAAUACUAUGCCAUGCGAGGGUUCGGAAGCCUCUCAGCUUUGUGCAUGUCAGAGGAUGAAGACUGGAAGGGAGGGAGGGAAGUGAGGAAAGAGAAACACAAGUGCACAAAGUGGGUCAAGCUGCAAUUUGCAGGAGGCCAAUGGUUUACGACACAGGACAACAUAAAUGGAAUGAAAUCAAUUAGGUACUGCUCACCUGUUGACCUAAUGCUUAUUGAAUGUCUUAUAACCAAGAUACAUGGCUUUGCCCAUUAGCUUAUGGAGUUAGAAGCCACACAUAUAAAAGAUCAAGUGGUUUCACUUAUGACACCCUCUGGAACUGAUGCUCGUCUAUUGGAAGGAGGGAAGGGAAGGAGGGGUAGAGGUUCUGAACCACCGGGGAUGACAAAGCCAAAAAAGUUUCUAUUCUUAUGGAAUCACGUCUGUAUAACUGUUUGUAAUAUUGCAAAUUUCACAUUUUAAAUGCACUUGAAAUGUUGUCAUAUGUAUGUAUUAAGCUACACGUAAAUGAAGAUCCUUGACUUGGUAUUCUAUCAAACGCUGUUCUCCGAUGAGACGUGACCAAUCACACACAGGAACUAUGCCACGCUUCCUUCCACAGGAGAAAGUAAGUAAGUAAGCAGAAGGCGAGGUUGGAAAAAAGUGCUUCUUACCUCUUUCUGGCUUCUUCAUAUUGCCAAUUAAGUCUGACUCGGUCUACAAGUCUUGUUUUAUCAUCAAAGACAAACUUUCCGGAACAGAAGAGAGAAAAAAAGAAAGGAAACGCAUAUUAAAAACAUAUUUCCAAAAUAGCAACUUCACUUAAACUUUCGGCAGCAAUGAGAAAUAUUCUUCAUCUCUUUCACUUUCAAUCUGUGCAAGGUCUGGAAGGAAACACUGAAUAACCCUUUGCGGCCACCCCUGGCUGGGGAGGGGGGAGGGGGAAGGGAAGACUCUUGCUUGCCUAAACUGGUAGGGUUUUUUGUUUUUUUUUACAGCAGCAGCAUAUCUAUCUAUUCUGUAAUUCCAAACAACAACCACAAAUUAGGUUUUAAAAGAAGUAGGAAAUUACUUAGUAAAAGUUGAUACAAAGGCAAAAACCAGUCACCCGAUUUUGUGCAGUACAUUCUCUAAUUCCUCAGUAAACGUAAAAUAAUGAUGUUCUACUCAGAAGCUCCACGGUCUGAGGAAGCUGGACUAGCUGUGUGACGGAUGGGCUGGUGGACGCCUUCUGAUGCCACGAGGUGUGUUAAAGAACCAAGGGCAAGCCAGGCGCGGUGGCUCACGCCUGUAAUCCCAGCACUUUGGGAGUCUGAGGCGGGCGGAUUACGAGGUCAGGAGAUCGAGACCAUCCUGGCUAACACGGUGAAACCCCGCCUCUACUAAAAAUACAAAAAAUUAGUCGGGCGUAGUGGCAGGCGCCUGUAGUCGCAGCUACUCGGGAGGCUGAGGCAGGAGAAUGGCAUGAACCCAGGAGGCGGAGCUUGCAGUGAGCCGAGACUGAGCCACUGCACUUCAGCCUGGGCGACAGAGCAAGACUCCGUCUCAAAAAAAAAAAAAAAAAAAGAACCAAGGGCAAAAGGAAAGCAAGCAAGGUCUCAAAAAGCCAGAGCUCGGGGAGUACCAAUAUAGAGUUAGCCUAAAUGCGGUGCUCUGUGACGAGUAGAUAUACUUAAAUAUUUUUGUACCAGUUACAUUGAUGACAAUAAAAUCCUACACAAAACAAAAAAAGACAUGUACAGGAAGUAACUGUAGUACAUUUUGGUUAAUUCCUCAUUCCUGCAAAUAUUCACACAACUCCAGUUUCAAUAAAUCAGCUCCAUCUGUUGAUCUGACCUUACUAGAUCACAUAUUAUGGCCACCAAGUCUUUACAUUUUUGAAAUAACUUCCCAUCAACAAGUAUCUGAAAAUAUUCAACUUGAAUGAUUAGCAGUGAAUUUAUCGACACGAGUUUUGAUCUAUGUUGAUGAAAAAUGUCUUCGCAAAUUUAUUGCCUUGAAUGGCAAGAUGAAAAAGUGCCUUACAAGGGACUGAGCAUUCUCCAACCAGAAUGACAAUUGUUCAUGGUUUCUUUUUUUGAGACAGGGUCUCGCACUAUUGCUCAGACUAGAGUGCAGUGGCACAAUCACAGCUCACUGCAGCCUCAACCCCUUGGGCUCAAGCGAUCCUCCUGCCUCAGCCUCCCAAGUAGCUGGGACUACAGGCAUGAGCCACCACGCCCAGGUGGUUGCCCAGCCAUGUUGCCCAGACUGGUCUUCAACUCAUGGGCUCAAGCAAUCUGGCCACCUCUGGCCACCUCAGCCUCCCAAAGUGCUAGGAUUACAAGCAUGAGCCACUGUGCCUGGCCACAAUUAUACAUGUUUAAACGGCCUCAUCCAAUGCUCCUCUCCAGCUUCCUCAGUAUAAAUAUAUUUAAGUGGCAGUGCCACAGCUCCAAAAGCUGUCCACAGUGGAGAUGAGCUACUUGCCAUUUCAGUCCCCUCUUUAUUAGUGACCCUGCAAUCAACUCAUCAAGAUCAGUAAACAUCAUCUCUCAAACCUCUUCUCAAAGCUGUAUGCACCUCUCUCUAAGCUUUGUUUCUGUACUCUUCUUUGAGAAUUAAAUGGACAUUUUAGUGAAAAGAAAAGACAGCCAAAUGGAUCCAAGAGACUCCUGCUUCAGAGUUCCUAUGCAGCGCUACAGCGUGUGCAACCCUGUGGCUGCAAAUCUCCAGUCUCAAAAAGCACAUCUGACAUACAGCAAUAUCCACCCCACAAAACAGACUCAACACAAGCACAAAGUGAGGUAGGCAGACUUCUAAGAAGGCCCCUAAUGACCAACACCUCCUGGGAUUCUCCCCGUGUGAAAUUCCCUCCCCCUGAGAAUAAACUGGGUCUAUAACUUGACUCUAACCAAUAGAACAGAACAAAGGUGAUGGGAAGUCAUUUCUGUGAAUAGGUUACAAAAGACUGUGACUUCCAUCUUGCUAGCAGACUCUCAGCUGGUACACUUUGACGAAGCAGGCUGCCGUGCUGGAGCAGCCCAUGUGGCAAGGAACUGAAGCCCUCAGUCCAGCAACCUGUGAGGAACUGAAUCCUGCCAACAAUCACAUGAGCUUAAGAGUGGCCCCUCCCCCAGAUGGCGACCAUAUUCUUUCAUCCAAAGAAGAUGCCUAGUCAAAAACGGCCAAGUGUACGUUUGGAACAACGCAGGCAAAUUUGAAAAUAGGACUGUUCCAGGACACCCAAGACAUAAAGGGCCGUGAUUUCCUACAUUAUACUCCACUCGAAGAGGCACUAGUUGCUAAGAUUUCAAAAUAUUAAUUAGCUAAUUAUUUAAAACCCAGAGUUUUCCAUCAAUUGUUUUUUCCUCCUUUUGUUGCUUUCCUUUUAUUUAUUUAAUUUCG
rnacentral:lncRNA from 1 species